UUGAGAGUCCAUAUGAAUUUUAGGAUAGAUUUUUCUAUUUGUGCAAAAAACAUCAUUGGAAUUUUUACCUCCUUGAGUUCUCCGCCACCAACUUCCAUAACCAUCAGGAUAUUCUACAACUUCUGCAAGAGUAACAAUUUUACCUUACACUGUAUUUGUCUCAUGUGGUUUAAAACAUCCAGAAAUCAUUGAUAAACUGACCCUGCCCAAACUAAAGCAUGGUGAGUUAUAAAAGAUGGUCGCUGUUAAGUGGGGAGGGAUUGCAGGUUGAACUUAAUUUUAUAAGUGGUCAAUUUAUUACAAUAUAUUGUUCUAUUAUCUAUUUCACUUCUUUUUUAAAAAAAGUGAUAUUUGAGGGCACUUAGAUAAUAAAAAGUUGAGAAGAUAACGAACUGAUAUACUCUGUAAGCUUGAAAUGUUUUCAAGCAUAAGAUACAAUAAGAACUAAAACUAAGAAAUGGCAGAGGAAAUAGAGAUAAGAGGAUGAAAUUGCAAAACUGAAUCUAUAAUAAUAUCUCAAUGGCUAGCGCUGUGGUGCCAAGAAGGUGGUGAAGUCAAAGAAUUCGUAAAGAUGAUAAUAGACUGCAAAGAAAAAAGACUGAAAUUUUUGCAGAGAGAAUUUUUACAGCGAUAUUACAGAUAGAGAACAGGGAAGAGAAGUUGGAGUGAGAGACUAUCUUCUUAAAUUACUUCCACUGUAGA